rnacentral:rRNA from 1 species
CUGUGUCCCCGCCGCAUGAUAAGCAUAUCAAUAAGCGGAGGAAAGAAACCAACAGGGAUUGCCCUAGUAACGGCGAGUGAAGCGGCAACAGCUCAGAUUUGAAAUCUGGCGCCUUUGGCGUCCGAGUUGUAAUCUGUAGAGGAUGCUUUUGGGUAGCCACCGGUCUAAGUCCCCUGGAACGGGGCGUCACAGAGGGUGAGAAUCCCGUAUGUGACCGGAAGGGCGCCCUCCACAUAGCUCCUUCGACGAGUCGAGUUGUUUGGGAAUGCAGCUCUAAAUGGGAGGUAAAUUCCUUCUAAAGCUAAAUACCGGCCAGAGACCGAUAGCGCACAAGUAGAGUGAUCGAAAGAUGAAAAGCACUUUGGAAAGAGAGUUAAAAAGCACGUGAAAUUGUUGAAAGGGAAGCGCUUGCAACCAGACUUGUUGGCGGUGUUCCGCCGGUCUUCUGACCGGUCUACUCACCGUCUGCAGGCCAGCAUCAUCUGGGGCCGCUGGAUAAAAGCGAGGGGAAUGUGGCUCCCCCGGGAGUGUUAUAGCCCCUCGUGCAAUACAGCGAGCCUCGGGUGAGGUCCGCGCUUCGGCUAGGAUGCUGGCGUAAUGGUCGUAAGCGGCCCGUCUUGAAACACGGACCAAGGAGUCUAACAUCUAUGCGAGUGUUCGGGUGUCAAACCCCUACGCGUAAUGAAAGUGAACGGAGGUGGGAGCCUUAGGGUGCACCAUCGACCGAUCCUGAUGUCUUCGGAUGGAUUUGAGUAAGAGCAUAGCUGUUGGGACCCGAAAGAUGGUGAACUAUGCCUGGAUAGGGUGAAGCCAGAGGAAACUCUGGUGGAGGCUCGCAGCGGUUCUGACGUGCAAAUCGAUCGUCAAAUUUGGGUAUAGGGGCGAAAGACUAAGCGAACCCAUCUAGUGC